GAUGAACGCUGGCGGCGUGCUUAACACAUGCAAGUCGAACGGCAAGGCUCCUGCUUGCCGGGGUACUCGAGUGGCGAACGGGUGAGUAACACGUGGGUGAUCUGCCCUGCACUUCGGGAUAAGCCUGGGAAACUGGGUCUAAUACCGGAUAGGACCACAUUUUGGAUGGUGUGGUGGAAAGUUUUUCGGUGUGGGAUGAGCUCGCGGCCUAUCAGCUUGUUGGUGGGGUAAUGGCCUACCAAGGCGUCGACGGGUAGCCGGCCUGAGAGGGUGUACGGCGACAUUGGGACUGAGAUACGGACCAGACGCCAACGGGAGGCAGCAGGGGGGAAUAUUGCACAAUGGGAGCAAGCCUGAUGCAGAGACGCCGCGUGGGGGAUGACGGCCUUCGGGUUGUAAACUCCUUUCGCUAGGGACGAAGCGCAAGUGACGGUACCUGGAGAAGAAGCACCGGCUAACUACGUG
rnacentral:rRNA from 1 species